GACGAACGCUGGCGGCGUGCUUAACACAUGCAAGUCGAACGGAAAGGCCCUGCUUUUGUGGGGUGCUCGAUUGGCGAACGGGUGAGUAACACGUGAGUAACCUGCCCUUGACUUUGGGAUAACUUCAGGAAACUGGGGCUAAUACCGGAUAGGAUCUCCUGCUGCGUGGUGUGGGUUGGAAAGUUUCGGCGGUUGGGGAUGGACUCGCGGCUUAUCAGCUUGUUUGUGGGGUAGUGGCUUACCAAGGCUUUGACGGGUAGCCGGCCUGAGAGGGUGACCGGCCACAUGGGGACUGAGAUACGGCCCAGACUCCUACGGGAGGCAGCAGUGGGGAAUAUUGCACAAUGGGCGGAAGCCUGAUGCAGCAACGCUGCGUGCGGGAUGACGGCCUUCGGGUUGUAAACCGCUUUCGCCUGUGACGAAGCGUGAGUGACGGUAAUGGGUAAAGAAGCACCGGCUAACUACGUG
rnacentral:rRNA from 1 species